rnacentral:misc_RNA from 1 species
UAAAGGGUUAAGAUUCCUAAUUAAUCACAACUAUCUAAUGGUCUAAAUCUUCUAACAUGAUCCAAACACUUUAUAACACUUCUUGAAUUAAAAGAAUACAGAAAAUAGAUCAAAUAUCAAUUAAAACCCAAGAAAAUACAAGAAUAUGUAUAAAUAUACAAUUUCUAAUUAUGGCAGAUUAAUGGUAACAAGAAAUCCGACUUUUUAAAAAUAGUUAUACAUACCUAAAAAUCAUAAAAAAAUU